CCUGGAAGGAGAGCAAUUGCUGUGUUCAGUUAUAUGAAUGCAGAGGAAAGUCCAGGCAGCAGAAGGCAGGGUGGUCGCCUUAAUUGGCGACACGGGUAACCGCUAGUCAGAGCAACAGAGACGAGUUUGCGCUAAGUUAAUUACUUGGUGCGAGGUGAAACGCCCCGAAGGGGUCCCGCUCUGCGGGAGGCAAUCCUCCCCGCUGCAACCUGCGAUUUGGCCGUUUGAGGCGCCUUCCCGAGGCCUAAGGCAGGGCUAAGAUAGAUAAUUGCUUGAAACAGAACCUGGCUUACUACCUUCCAGGAGCC
rfam:Microgenomates (Woesebacteria) bacterium GW2011_GWB1_44_11b TW21_C0009, whole genome shotgun sequence.